UACGUAGGGUGCGAGCGUUGUCCGGAAUUAUUGGGCGUAAAGGGCUCGUAGGCGGUUUGUCGCGUCGGGAGUGAAAACUCAGGGCUUAACCCUGAGCCUGCUUCCGAUACGGGCAGACUAGAGGUAUGCAGGGGAGAACGGAAUUCCUGGUGUAGCGGUGAAAUGCGCAGAUAUCAGGAGGAACACCGGUGGCGAAGGCGGUUCUCUGGGCAUUACCUGACGCUGAGGAGCGAAAGCAUGGGUAGCGAACAGG
rnacentral:rRNA from 1 species